UACGAAGGGGGGCUAGCGUUGCUCGGAAUCACUGGGCGUAAAGGGCGCGUAGGCGGCGUUUUAAGUCGGGGGUGAAAGCCUGUGGCUCAACCACAGAAUGGCCUUCGAUACUGGGACGCUUGAGUAUGGUAGAGGUUGGUGGAACUGCGAGUGUAGAGGUGAAAUUCGUAGAUAUUCGCAAGAACACCGGUGGCGAAGGCGGCCAACUGGACCAUUACUGACGCUGAGACGCGAAAGCGUGGGUAGCAAACAGG
rnacentral:rRNA from 1 species